CUCAACCAAAACCCAACUUAAUUUGACUCAAAAUCACUUGAAUAGAACUUCUGAACUUCAGCAACCCACAUAUUCAAUUUGAAAGUAAACAAUUCUUGAAGAAUAAUUAUCAGAACUCACAAUUCUCGAUGUAACAGUGUAUUUUGGUAUUUUAUGAAGAGUUUUUGUUGUUUUUUUGUUUUUCUAUGGAAAACUUAAUACUCUAAUAGAGAAUUUCAAAUUCCAGAUCUCAUUUUGAAUUUGAAACUAAGGAGAGUUUUUUUGGGGGUGGGGGGAAUUUUUGAGC
rnacentral:lncRNA from 1 species